UGUUGAGCUACAUAGAUAGCUUAGUAGAUAUAUGCUACAGAUUCUUCUUGACUCAUAUUCCUGUUUUUUAAUGUGUUUUUGGUUACUCAGCACCAGAACUACAAUGAAAGUAUAACUGAACAGGAGUUUGUCAAUAGCAAUAGAGAUUGGAACUCUGCUAAGAUGUAUUUCAAAUGGGGAAGAUCCAGAGUUCGCAUUUUCCCACUACUGAGUAUAACAGCGAUUGUUUUGGUCUUCAACCUUUUAUGGAUUUUUUCUGGAUAUACCUUCUGUCAUCGGGAACCCAGUCUUUGUGACUGUCACAAAUGUCUAACAGACAGUGAUCCUUGGUUUAAUGACAUCAUCAGUGAAGCUCCUAAACCCUUUCUGUCACAGAAACAUAUACCUUCAGAGGAAGAUUUCCUCUGGUGGAAGAACUUACAGGGGGCAAGACAUCAAAACUUGGCUUUCUACGAUAAAACUUUAGAAAGACUAUUUCAGACAAUUACCCCAAUUGCAGAUGUUGAAGAACCUCGCCCUGAUCACUGCAGGAGUUGCGCCGUGAUGUGGAAAUCUGGAAAUUUAAGAGGAUCGCAUUAUGGACCUCUGAUUUCCAUAACAUCGUAAUAAGAAUCAAUCAGGGGGGUGUAAAAGGCUAUGAAACAGAUGUUGGAACCAAAACAACUCACCACGUCAUGUAUCCAGAGAGUGCUACUAAAUUGGACAACACCACAUAUCUUUUGUUUUUCCCUUUCAAAACACAUGACUUUUUGUGGCUUAUGAAGGCCUUAAAUCCAGGAGAAAAUGGUGCUCCAAACUCAAAGAAGAUAGCUAACAAGGAUUUGGUGAGUAUUUUAGGUUUACAUGAACAAAACUGGCAUAUAUUGAUAUCUAAGAAGUAUAAUAAGAAAUAAUAAAUUUAAUCUACCAUUAAUUCAGGCAGCCCACAAAGUCAGCUGAUUUUACACACUGAACUGACAAAUCUCUUAUACAGGGAGUGCAGAAUUAUUAGGCAAAUGAGUAUUUUGUCCACAUCAUCCUCUUCAUGCAUGUUGUCUUACUCCAAGC